AGUGAACGCUGGCGGCGUGCUUUACACAUGCAAGUCGAACGAGAACGGGUUUUAGCUUGCUAAAACUGUCAGCUAAGUGGCGAAUGGGUGAGUAAUACAUAGAUAACAUGCCCCUUAGAGAGGGAUAACCAUUAGAAAUGAUGGCUAAUACCUCAUAAGCUAAUAUACAUAAGUAUAUUAGGAAAAGGUUAAUUCUGCUAAGGGAUUGGUUUAUGACCUAUCAGCUAGUUGGUGAGGUAAGAGCUUACCAAGGCGAUGACGGGUAGCUGGUCUGAGAGGAUGAACAGCCACACCGGGAACUGAGACACGGGUCCGGACUCCUACGGGAGGCAGCAGUGGGGAAUAUUGCACAAUGGGGGGAACCCUGAUGCAGCAACGCCGCGUGGAGGAUGAAGCAUUUAGGUGUGUAAACUCCUUUUAACAAGGAAGAAGUUGACGGUACUUGUUGAAUAAGCACCGGCUAACUCCGUGCCAGCAGCCGCGGUAAUU
rnacentral:rRNA from 1 species